rnacentral:rRNA from 1 species
GAUGAACGCUGACAGAAUGCUUAACACAUGCAAGUCUUUGGCGAAGCUGUGCUUGCACAGCCUAGCCAAGGCGGACGGGUGAGUAACGCGUAAGGAACUUGCCCUGCAGUCAGGGAUAACAGACGGAAACGACUGAUAAGACCUGGUAAAGUCAGGCGGACUCAUGUCCAGCCUGAUGAAAAGAGAUGCUGCAGGAGAGCCUUGCGUCCUAUUAGCUUGUUGGUGGGGUACGGCCCACCAAGGCGAUGAUAGGUAGCCGGCCUGAGAGGGUGGACGGCCACAAGGGGACUGAGAUACGGCCCUUACUCCUACGGGAGGCAGCAGUGGGGAAUAUUGGACAAUGGGGGCAACCCUGAUCCAGCAAUUCUGUGUGCACGAUGAAGGUUUUCGGAUUGUAAAGUGCUUUCAGCAGGGAAGAAAAAAAUGACGGUACCUGCAGAAGAAGCGACGGCUAAAUACGUG